UACGUAGGAGGCAAGCGUUGUCCGGAAUUACUGGGCGUAAAGCGCGUGUAGGUGGUGGGACAAGUCUGCUGUGAAAGCGCCUGGCUUAACCGGGCGAGGUCGGCGGAAACUGUUCGACUCGAGGACGGUAGAGGGGGGUGGAAUUCCCGGUGUAGUGGUGAAAUGCGUAGAGAUCGGGAGGAACACCUGUGGCGAAGGCGGCCCCCUGGGCCGGCCCUGACACUGAGGCGCGAAAGCUAGGGGAGCAAACAGG
rnacentral:rRNA from 1 species